rnacentral:rRNA from 1 species
AAGCGGUGGAGCAUUGUGGUUUAAUUCGAAGCAACGCGAAGAACCUUACCAGGCCUUGACAUGCAGAGAACUUCAGAGAUGGAUUGGUGCCUUCGGGAACUCUGACACAGGUGCUGCAUGGCUGUCGUCAGCUCGUGUCGUGAGAUGUUGGGUUAACGUCCCGUAACGAGCGCAACCCUUGUCCUUAGUUACCAGCACGGUUAUGGUGGGCACUCUAAGGAGACUGCCGGUGACAAACCGGAGGAAGGUGGGGAUGACGUCAAGUCAUCCAUGGCCCUUACGGCCUGGGCUACACACGUGCUACAAUGGUCGGUACAAAGGGUUGCCAAGCCGCGAGGUGGAGCUAAUCCCAUAAAACCGAUCGUAGUCCGGAUCGCAGUCUGCAACUCGACUGCGUGAAGUCGGAAUCGCUAGUAAUCGUGAAUCAGAAUGUCACGGUGAAUACGUUCCCGGGCCUU